GAGGGUGUCGCUCAGGUGGUAGAGCGUGUGCUUAGCAUGCAUAAGGUCCUAGGUUCAAUCCCCAGCACCUGCU
rnacentral:tRNA from 1 species